AAACGGCCGCGUUAGCGUGAGCGUGCUAAGGUAGCGUAAUAAAUAGCCUUUUAAUUGGAGGCCAGUGAAUGGCAAGACUAGGGACACCUGUACCCCAUAUGAGAAAACAACUUUUCGUCUGAGUGAAAAGACCCAGAUAAUAAAGGAAGACGAAAAGACCCCGCGGAACUUUACCUUUUCUCGUCUCCAUAUGCUCAGAAACACAAAAACAAAAGGUUUGAUUGGGGCAAUCUCGGAACCACCAAAACUUCCGACUUAUAAGUAAGAGAAUAUAAAACUCAAUAAGGACUAAAAAGAAGUUACCCCGGGGAUAACAGCGUAAUCCAACUUGAGAGUACAUAUCGAAAGUUGGGUUUGCGACCUCGAUGUUGGCUUAAGGAUAUCCACAUAAGUGCAAC
rnacentral:rRNA from 1 species